rnacentral:rRNA from 1 species
UACGUAGGGCGCAAGCGUUGUCCGGAUUUAUUGGGUUUAAAGGGUGCGUAGGCGGCCUAUUAAGUCAGUGGUGAAAUAUUUCAGCUUAACUGGAAUUGUGCCAUUGAUACUGAUGGGCUUGAGUACAGAUGAGGUAGGCGGAAUUGACGGUGUAGCGGUGAAAUGCUUAGAUAUCGUCAAGAACACCUAUAGCGAAGGCAGCUUACUAGGCUGUAACUGACGCUGAGGCACGAAAGUGUGGGGAUCAAACAGG